AACGAACGCUGGCGGCAUGCCUAACACAUGCAAGUCGAACGAGACCUUCGGGUCUAGUGGCGCACGGGUGCGUAACGCGUGGGAAUCUGCCCUUGGGUUCGGAAUAACUCGCCGAAAGGCGUGCUAAUACCGGAUGAUGACGUAAGUCCAAAGAUUUAUCGCCCAAGGAUGAGCCCGCGUUGGAUUAGCUAGUUGGUGAGGUAAAGGCUCACCAAGGCGACGAUCCAUAGCUGGUCUGAGAGGAUGAUCAGCCACACUGGGACUGAGACACGGCCCAGACUCCUACGGGAGGCAGCAGUGGGGAAUAUUGGACAAUGGGCGAAAGCCUGAUCCAGCAAUGCCGCGUGAGUGAUGAAGGCCUUAGGGUUGUAAAGCUCUUUUACCCGGGAUGAUAAUGACCGUACCGGAAGAAUAAGCUCCGGCUAACUCCGUG
rnacentral:rRNA from 1 species